GAGAGAGCCAAAAGCAUGCAUGAACUUGUUGAUGUUCUAGGUUUACUACCACAUACAGGAAAAUUUACAUAACAAUCUCRCAUCCUACUCUGCAUCCAAGAUCUGUGGUGUAUUGUGGAUUUUUUUUUUCUUUCUUUUAGUCUAAGAAGGUUUCUGAAAUGGGGAAAGUGCCAACCUCAGAUCAUCAAAGGGUUACCUCGUCAAAACUGCCCAAGAGGUUAUAACAAAGAUAAUAGAAGCAACAGGAAAUCAGAAGCAACCUUACAACUCAGGAUAAAAGUAGCAUGAGAAAACUGAGGAUAUAAAGGCAGGGGAAAACCGACCUCUCUUCAGGAGGAAAAAUCAAGCUGCUGAUGUGUCUGGUUGGCAUGGUGGAGAAGAGGUAUAGGAAGGUUUGUUUGUUUUUAUUUUGAAUUGGAUUGCUAUCUGGAAAAGGCAACCAGUCAGGGUUUGGGUCUUGCCUGUUUGUUU
rnacentral:lncRNA from 1 species